UAUUGCUUGUUUCCACAGUAAUAUGCUAAAAUUGGAGUGAUACAGGGAAGAUUAGAAUGAUCCCUGCACAAGGAUGACAUGCAAAGUCAUGAAGCAUUCCAUUAAAAA